CUUUUUUGGAAAAUUGGGCAUUGUAAACAUCACAAACAGGAGGUUUAAGAUCUUCAAUGAUCUGUAAAGCUUGCAAAAUUUCCUCCUGUCUAAUUGGACAUAUCAAUUGCAAUUGUUGAGUUCUAUUCAGUAUAGGACCCACAACCAUCACAGAAUGGUGUAUAUAUGGUAUUUCAUCAGCCCUGGUACCAAGUAGAGUCUUAUAAAAUCCAAUGACAACUUCAGUAUAAUUGUAGCAAUGCUCCAGUACCUGAUACUAGGGCUUGUAAUGUAAUUUUGGCUUACCCUUUGAUUCAUAGAAGCAAAAGAAAAAAAGCUAAGUUUGCAUCCCCUAGAUUGAUUAUAACCUUGACUUUUGCCUAAGUAUACUUUCUUCAACAUUACGACACGUUUCUAAUCCCACUUUUAUAUCUAUCUCAAGAGCAUAGGUAUCAGGGUUAGAGUGUUGAGAUCUGAUAUAUAUUUGGACCGCUUCCGGUUGUCGUCUCAAAUCAUUUAUCCUAUUUCCACAUUUGAGAACUCUUUCACAUUCUAAGAUUUCAUACUUCCUUUCAUGUCUUUGAGUUUUUGACAAAUACUUCCCUUAGGUUGUCGCAGUAAAAUCUUUAAGUUCGGUCAGAGGAUUGAGAAAUUUGAAGGGCUUUGAUUGCUUCCCAUAUUUCCCUUCCACUGUAACACACAAAAGUGAGUGGUCUGAAAACUAGGUAGUACCACUUCAAGUUGAGGCCAUGUAGUCAUCAAUAGUAGAUUUACUAAGGUCCUAUCAGUUUUGCUUAGAACAUGGCUGCUAGUCCAGGUAUAGAAUCUGCCAACGAAUUUCAUCUUAGUGACCCAUAUGCUCAAUAGGAAUUCUUCAAAAUCUUUGACUUCUGCAUCAGCCAAAUGACUACCAUUAUAUAUGUCUUCACCUUUCAACACAACAUCAAAGUCCCUCAUGAUUAGCAACGACUGCAUUUAGUCACUACCAUAGCCCUCUUCGAUCAUCAAUGGUGGGAAGAACCUAGUACUUGAAGAUUUCUGAGAACCUUCUUGACAUUGAAGGUGUCAGUGAUUAUUUCCUUAGGAUUUUCAAUCAAGUAGCUACUAUGAGUGAUAACUUUAGUAAGGUUUUAUUAUGAGAAGCCAAACUCCCUAUUCUUAGGUGGGCAAUGUAUGGAUGAUUAAUUUCACAAUUGGGUAUUGAUUUAUUGCUUAUUAAGUGUUAAUCUGAUCUGGAUUCAUCUGUCUCUUUAUGAUUUCAUCAAUAGGUUGCAAACUCUUGUUUACUUUAUAUCUUUAAUGUUACUUGUGAAAGAUCAUUGAAGUGAAAGGUGAUGAUUGAUAAUGACUUGAUUUAGUUCGUAUAACAGUUUAAGCUUAAAAUUAUUUAUCUAAAUUAAAGUGUUUGAUUGAUUUAAAUAGUUUACAUGUUGGGUUUGAUAAAAACCCACAUGAUUCAUCCAUUCAUGUGAGAUAGGCUCAAACUCUUCUUUGGCUUUUAUAUUGCAUACGAGUUGUUGAACGUUAUCACAAGUUUCUUUUUAUGGUUACUAGUUUAUUGAGGGUUUUAACUGUUUAAUUUGAGGUGAGAAUUGCAAGCUUAAUGAACCUAUACUUUUCAUCUGGCAGUGACAUGUGGGAAUUCAGAAAAUUAUAUAUGCAUCAUCAACAUAACCUCUCCCAAACUGCAAGUUUGAAUUGAACAUAAUUAUUGGUAAUUUCGAAAACGAAGUCUACAAAAUCUUACAAAGUUCCAAUGCUGGGAUGUGUGUAUUCUUCAUUUUGUGUUCAGUUUUUCACUAUACUGAACUAAGCUUACAUAAUUUUCAACAUCCUAUGGCAUAGUGAUAAGAAUAUCGAUUUUUCAGCUUUUAUCAAAGCUUUAGCUUUCUGUUAUCAUUUGUUUCUUCUUUCACUGCUUUUUGCAGAAUGUAGAAAUGAAGAUCAAGUCUGUAAUAUAGCUAAGCUAUUAAUUUUUUUGAUCUCAUUGAAUACUCCUUUAUCAAUUUGGAGAAUAAAGAAUCAUGUCUUCCCAAUAGCCCUGCUGGUGUGUCAUAUUCAGCUAUUC
rnacentral:lncRNA from 1 species